rnacentral:rRNA from 1 species
GAUGAACGCUGGCGGCGUGCCUAAUACAUGCAAGUCGAGCGAACAGACGAGGAGCUUGCUCCUUUGACGUUAGCGGCGGACGGGUGAGUAACACGUGGGUAACCUACCUAUAAGACUGGGAUAACUUCGGGAAACCGGAGCUAAUACCGGAUAAUAUUUCGAACCGCAUGGUUCGAUAGUGAAAGAUGGCUCCGCUAUCACUUAUAGAUGGACCUGCGCCGUAUUAGCUAGUUGGUAAGGUAACAGCUUACCAAGGCAACGAUACGUAGCCGACCUGAGAGGGUGAUCGGCCACACUGGAACUGAGACACGGUCCAGACUCCUACGGGAGGCAGCAGUAGGGAAUCUUCCGCAAUGGGCGAAAGCCUGACGGAGCAACGCCGCGUGAGUGAUGAAGGUCUUCGGAUCGUAAAACUCUGUUAUUAGGGAAGAACAAACGUGUAAGUAACUGUGCACGUCUUGACGGUACCUAAUCAGAAAGCCACGGCUAACUACGUGCCAGCAGCCGCGGUAAUACGUAGGUGGCAAGCGUUAUCCGGAAUUAUUGGGCGUAAAGCGCGCGUAGGCGGUUUUUUAAGUCUGAUGUGAAAGCCCACGGCUCAACCGUGGAGGGUCAUUGGAAACUGGAAAACUUGAGUGCAGAAGAGGAAAGUGGAAUUCCAUGUGUAGCGGUGAAAUGCGCAGAGAUAUGGAGGAACACCAGUGGCGAAGGCGACUUUCUGGUCUGUAACUGACGCUGAUGUGCGAAAGCGUGGGGAUCAAACAGGAUUAGAUACCCUGGUAGUCCACGCCGUAAACGAUGAGUGCUAAGUGUUAGGGGGGUUUCCGCCCCUUAGUGCUGCAGCUAACGCAUUAAGCACUCCGCCUGGGGAGUACGACCGCAAGGUUGAAACUCAAAGGAAUUGACGGGGACCCGCACAAGCGGUGGAGCAUGUGGUUUAAUUCGAAGCAACGCGAAGAACCUUACCAAAUCUUGACAUCCUUUGCUCCUUCUAGAGAUAGAAGUUUCCCCUUCGGGGGACAAAGUGACAGGUGGUGCAUGGUUGUCGUCAGCUCGUGUCGUGAGAUGUUGGGUUAAGUCCCGCAACGAGCGCAACCCUUAAGCUUAGUUGCCAUCAUUAAGUUGGGCACUCUAAGUUGACUGCCGGUGACAAACCGGAGGAAGGUGGGGAUGACGUCAAAUCAUCAUGCCCCUUAUGAUUUGGGCUACACACGUGCUACAAUGGACAGUACAAAGGGCAGCGAAACCGCGAGGUCAAGCAAAUCCCAUAAAGUUGUUCUCAGUUCGGAUUGUAGUCUGCAACUCGACUACAUGAAGCUGGAAUCGCUAGUAAUCGUAGAUCAGCAUGCUACGGUGAAUACGUUCCCGGGUCU